AAGGAUCAGAUAUAGUCAGUCUCUGACAGGUUGAAUCAGCACCUCCCUACACUGCAGUCACAUGACGUCUAACGUCAUAACAAACAUGAUAUCGUCCAGAUGUUGAUUCUGUUUUGUACGAUGACGUCAAACAGAUGUUAGGAACUCUGGAAAAACUCUGUCUUUAAAGAAAAGUUUCCUCGUUCCAGGCAAUCGGGAGAUGACAGCCGUGAUCUCAGAGAUCAUGAUGUACGUGCUGAUCGUGGUUCUGCAGCUGUGGCUCAUUGUGGUUCUGGUCUACUGCUACAAGAAGAUUUCAGAUGAGCACGAGAGUCGGGAGGCACGUAAAGCUAUGAAAGCUCAGGCAGCGUCCAGACGAUUAGAAUCAAAGGACAACUGUGACGGGCUGCAGAUAGAGUAACAUGACAAGUGAGGUUGACGCUCGUCUGUGGAUAACAAAGUGUUUUAGGCCUGCUUCGGUCCACAGUAUCGCAGGAGUAUCUGUGUUAUUUACUGUAUAUUAGAAGACACUUUCAAGUAUACAAGUACACCCAUCGAUAUAUAUAUUACUAGUGUACUAGGUUUAUACUUGUAGUCCACAUUAUAGUUUAUAUGAACUUGUUGUUAAACUUUAAGUGUACUUGUAAGUAUAGAGCAGCGUAUAGGGAAGUCCGAUGACCGAUAUCCGAUAUUAUCGGUGAGCGUUAACGAGAAGAGGAAAGUCAACGCGAAGUGACUUAUUUUGACCGACACGGCGCUUCCAGUGAAUACCCGGAGAGUCAUGAACACCGGCACGUGUCGCUCUGACGGCGCGUUUCCACCGGCACGUGUCGCUCUGACGGCGUGUUUCCACUGACUUAAUUUAUUAUUUUAUUAUUUUAAUUUGAUUUUGUCUUCUUGUAACAAGUGAGAGUUGAUCUUGUCAAACAUGAAACUGAUGUCACUCUAAAGGCAGUUUCAGUGCUAAAUGUCUUUGUCCAUGUUUGUCCAAUAGUUGUUUUCUUGAAUAGUUUGUUUGUUAUCGACUGUCAGUGUUUCUGUGCUGGAUGAAAACAGAAAAUAUAAUAUAAUAUAAAAAUA